AAGAUAGUUGUUCUGAAAGUUUGCAUCUCAUACAAGCGAUUUCUUUCAAAAUCUGGAAAAACAAAUCCACAGAGAUACAUUAGGCCACGGACCUCACCUAGGCAGUCUCGCCUCUAUUUUUGUUGUUUUUCUGACGCCAUCUUCAGGUAACGCCUCUCAUCUUCCCGGAGUUGGGGACGAAGGAAACCCUAGCCGGCGAAACGCCGGAGGAGCCGCGGACCUCACCUAGGCAGCGCGCUUCCUCCCAAUCCACCCCCCUCCACACUCCUCUCCCCCCAGACGCUAACUCGGCGAGCAGUUGGAUAGUACCCGUCUCGUCGGAGGGGAUGCCCGCCGGGGUUGCCCCAUCGUCUCUGCAUUCUCCCUGGAGAGAAAUCAGUUGGUAGACGAAUCAAAAGCUAAUUCCGUCAUGAUCUCUAUGGCUCGCAUCUGCAGUUCUUGAUUAGCUUUGUUGCCAUGAUCAAGAAUCCUCUCCAGGUUGCUCACUGCCUGCUUGUUAGCAGAGAUCUCAAGGCCCAGCGUUUUGCCAAUCCACUCCGGAGCACGGAUGAGCCUGUGCACGACCUUGAGCGAUCCAUUUGUUACAUCGGCCCAUGCACUUACACUGAUAUCUUGGAUUAGUGUGCUGGAGUACAGAGGUGCUGUGAUCUUAGAGAGGAUAUCAGGGGCGCGGAGUAUGUCCCUGCAGUUAUUUUGGUCGAAUCCCCAGCUACAAAAUGUAGUAUGUUCAAAUUUACUCUAUCUUUUUUUUUAAGGAAACACCACAGGCGUCUCGUAGUUGACGGGUA